rnacentral:lncRNA from 7 species
UUAGAUCAUCUUCCGUGUGCAGCGGUUGUCUAAGUUCAAAAAACAAAGGUAGGCUGAAGAACACCAAAUAUUUUUUUUCCCUGAGCUUAUGUUGCCUUUGCAGUUUACCUCUACGGAGCUCCUGUCCUGUGUGCUACCAGUACCAGUUCAUAGCGAGUCCCUGUCCCUGGGCCUGAAGACCCUAUGAGCUUCUGUUCGUGAGGACAAGAUAAUUGGGGAGAUUUCCCUUUUCCCGUCGGUGCUUCCGGUUGUCGGUAAAAGCUGGCUAACCACCACCGCCGACAUGAUUGUGAAAGCCUGAAAGGGAUCGACAUACAUGGUUUGCUCGUUGAUUCUUAACCCGGCUGUUCAGACUCGGGCUUCUGGCCGGCUGCUGACCAUGGACCGCGAUGUGCCACUACCACCACAGGCUGACAGGCACAUGCUCCUGCGGUGCAGUGCCGCACGAAACUAAAACCGACCGACCAGGUCAGAAACCGAAUUUUUUUUUUAUAAAAC